UACGGGAGGAGCAGUGGGGAAUAUUGCACAAUGGGCGCAAGCCUGAUGCAGCCAUGCCGCGUGUAUGAAGAAGGCCUUCGGGUUGUAAAGUACUUUCAGCGGGGAGGAAGGCGAUGUGGUUAAUAACCGCGUCGAUUGACGUUACCCGCAGAAGAAGCACCGGCUAACUCCGUGCCAGCAGCCGCGGUAAUACGGAGGGUGCAAGCGUUAAUCGGAAUUACUGGGCGUAAAGCGCACGCAGGCGGUCUGUUAAGUCAGAUGUGAAAUCCCCGGGCUUAACCUGGGAACUGCAUUUUGAAACUGGCAGGCUUGAGUCUCGUAGAGGGGGUAGAAUUCCAGGUGUAGCGGUGAAAUGCGUAGAGAUCUGGAGGAAUACCGGUGGCGAAGGCGGCCCCUGGGACGAAGACUGACGCUCAGGUGCGAAAGCGUGGGGAGCAAACAGGGAUUAGAUACC
rnacentral:rRNA from 1 species